AUUGAACGCUGGCGGCAGGCCUAACACAUGCAAGUCGAACGAGUGGCGGACGGGUGAGUAAUGUCUGGGAAACUGCCUGUUGGAGGGGGAUAACUACUGGAAACGGUAGCUAAUACCGCAUACCCUCGGAUGUGCCCAGCUUGGAUUGGCUAGUAGGUGGGGUAAAGGCUCAUCUAGGCGACGAUCCCUAGCUGGUCUGAGAGGAUGAACGGCCACACGGGAACGGAGACACGGUCCAGCCUCCUACGGGAGGCAGCAGUGGGGAAUAUUGCACAAGGGGCGCAAGCCUGAUGCAGCCAGGCCGCGUGGGUGAGGAAGGCCUUCGGGUUUUAAAGCACUUUCAGCGGGGAGGCGUUACCCGCAGAAGAAGCACCGGCUAACUCCGUGCCAGCAGCCGCGGUAAUAC
rnacentral:rRNA from 1 species